AUUGAACGCUGGCGGCAGGCCUAACACAUGCAAGUCGAGCGGAUGAAGGGAGCUUGCUCCUGGAUUCAGCGGCGGACGGGUGAGUAAUGCCUAGGAGUCUGCCUGGUAGUGGGGGAUAACGUCCGGAAACGGGCGCUAAUACCGCAUACGUCCUGAGGGAGAAAGUGGGGGAUCUUCGGACCUCACGCUAUCAGAUGAGCCUAGGUCGGAUUAGCUAGUUGGUGGGGUAAAGGCCUACCAAGGCGACGAUCCGUAACUGGUCUGAGAGGAUGAUCAGUCACACUGGAACUGAGACACGGUCCAGACUCCUACGGGAGGCAGCAGUGGGGAAUAUUGGACAAUGGGCGAAAGCCUGAUCCAGCCAUGCCGCGUGUGUGAAGAAGGUCUUCGGAUUGUAAAGCACUUUAAGUUGGGAGGAAGGGCAGUAAGUUAAUACCUUGCUGCUUUGACGUUACCAACAGAAUAAGCACCGGCUAACUUCGUG
rnacentral:rRNA from 1 species